CCGCCCGUCGGUGUCAACUGGCAUGUUUGUGGGACGUCCUGCCGGUGGCGGUACGGGCUGCUGCGUAGGGUCGCCCCCGAAGCACGCAGGCGUGUCCCGGUCCGCCGAUCCAAUCCCGCCGCGGUGCUCUUCACUGAGUGUCGAGGUGGGCCGGCACGUUUACUUUGAACAAAUUAGAGUGCUCAAAUCAGGUCGUAUUUAGGCCUGAAUACUGUGUGCAUGGAAUAAUGGAAUAGGACCUCGGUUCUAUUUUGUUGGUUUUUUGGAAUCAGAGGUAAUGAUUAAUAGGGACAGUCGGGGGCAUUCGUAUUGCGACGUUAGAGGUGAAAUUCUUGGAUCGUCGCAAGACGAACCUAAGCGAAAGCAUUUGCCAAGUAUGUUUCCGUUAAUCAAGAACGAAAGUUAGAGGUUCGAAGGCGAUCAGAUACCGCCCUAGUUCUAACCAUAAACGAUGCCAGCCAGCGAUCCGCCGAAGUUCCUCCGAUGACUCGGCGGGCAGCUUCCGGGAAACCAAAGCUUUUGGGUUCCGGGGGAAGUAUGGUUGCAAAGCUGAAACUUAAAGGAAUUGACGGAAGGGCACCACCAGGAGUGGAGCCUGCGGCUUAAUUUGACUCAACACGGGAAACCUCACCAGGCCCGGACACCGGAAGGAUUGACAGAUUGAGAGCUCUUUCUUGAUUCGGUGGGUGGUGGUGCAUGGCCGUUCUUAGUUGGUGGAGCGAUUUGUCUGGUUAAUUCCGGUAACGAACGAGACUCUAGCCUGCUAAAUAGACGCCGGUAUCACAAUUGCUACCGGCGAAAUCAAUAUCUUCUUAGAGGGACAGGCGGCUUUCAGCCGCACGAAACUGAGCAAUAACAGGUCUGUGAUGCCCUUAGAUGUCCUGGGCCGCACGCGCGCUACACUGAAGGAAUCAGCGUGUACACCCUGGCCGAAAGGCUCGGGCAACCCGUUGAACCUCCUUCGUGCUAGGGAUUGGGGCUUGCAAUUGUUCCCCAUGAACGAGGAAUUCCCAGUAAGCGCGAGUCAUAAGCUCGCGUUGAUUACGUCCCUGCCCUUUGUACACACCGCCCGUCGCUACUACCGAUUGAAUGAUUUAGUGAGGUCUUCGGACUGGUGCGCGGCGGCCGCCUGCGCGGCCGCCGAUGCCACCGGGAAGAUGACCGAACUUGAUCAUUUAG
rnacentral:rRNA from 1 species